ACGAACGCUGGCGGCGUGCUUAACACAUGCAAGUCGAGCGGAAAGGCCACUUCGGUGGUACUCGAGCGGCGAACGGGUGAGUAACACGUGAGUAAUCUGCCCCUGGCUUUGGGAUAGCCACCGGAAACGGUGAUUAAUACCGGAUACGACAACUUCUUGCAUGAGAUGGUUGUGGAAAGUUUUUCGGCCAGGGAUGUGCUCGCGGCCUAUCAGCUUGAUGGUGAGGUAAUGGCUCACCAUGGCUUCGACGGGUAGCCGGCCUGAGAGGGUGACCGGCCACACUGGGACUGAGACACGGCCCAGACUCCUACGGGAGGCAGCAGUGGGGAAUAUUGGACAAUGGGCGGAAGCCUGAUCCAGCAACGCCGCGUGAGGGAUGACGGCCUUCGGGUUGUAAACCUCUUUCAGCAGGGACGAAGCGCAAGUGACGGUACCUGCAGAAGAAGCACCGGCCAACUACGU
rnacentral:rRNA from 1 species